rnacentral:lncRNA from 10 species
CAUUCUCUAUGGAUGUCUUUACAGAGAUAAAGUAGUGGGAUAUUUCCUUGAAAUAAUGUUCAUCAUCAAUGCUGAAGUUUACAGAGGACAAAAAUAUGAAAUCAUGUGUUCAUAGACAGCCCCAGGACACACACAGUGGAUGCAUUGUGUUCUCCUGGGUUGCAUAACUACUUUGAAAGAAGUUUUCUUUUCUGUGUCAUAAAAGAAGACUUUUUGGCUCUGCCAGGAUACUCUACCAUUUGGCCCCAUAGACUUCAAGCAUGCCUGAAGAUACGUGCCAAUGGCUUGUUGGUUUUUGAAGAUCAUUCUGAUCUCUGCUGAGUUACCCAACUGGACUCAGAAGGGUCUGACCCACGUGCCACAUUCCAGCUGUUUGCUUGUUUGUUUUUAAUCUCAACCUAGUUUAAUGGGAAGAAGGUGGAUGGUUGAUGAAGGAAAUCAUUGCUCAUUCCUGCACACUGAACCGUGAAAAACAAGUAUAGAGAUGAACAGUGAAGAGAAGAGACAAUCCCAGGGUUUCAGCUGUGAUUCUACCAUGAGUCAGAAAGUGGUCUCUCUGUGGAGCCCGCCAGGAGCCUUCAGAACGCCCAUGCCUUCUCCAUGGCAGCCUCUCCACCAUCUUCCCGUCCAAGCGAAUAGUCCAUGCUUCCUGCUCAUUCCUUAGAGUAAGGUCCUGCCUCCAGAACACCUGGGUUAAAUAAAAAAUGUGUUGACCUGUGGCUAAUACAUUAGGUCAUGGAUAUAUACUCAUAGAGGCAAAACUGAGUUUAUUAUUUAUAAGCCACCAUAGUGGAGACCCAAGUCCUGUCUAAAAGGAACACAGAUUCGUUCUGCUUUACUUUUCACAUCCAUAAAAGAGGGAUAGAUAUUACAAUUAUGAAUGUUGACACAUUAUAGAAUAUUGGGAGAAGCAAUUUCAGAAGCUCACUCCCUAGAGAACCUCUUUUUCUCUAAAGUGGAGCCUGGCUUUGCAGGAAAUGCCCACUAGAGAAUUGGGGUAAAUAUUUGCCAAGAUUUUUUUUUAAGCUGAGGAUAACAGAAGAUAUUUGCUGAGAACUUUUGUCCGUCAUUAAAAUAGAUACC